AAAAUGACUCUCAGCAACGGAUAUCUUGGCUCUUGCAACGAUGAAGAACGCAGCGAAAUGCGAUACCUAGUGUGAAUUGCAGAAUUCCGCGAAUCAUCGAGUUUUUGAACGCAAGUUGCGCCCGAGGCUCGUCCGAGGG
rnacentral:rRNA from 1 species